rnacentral:misc_RNA from 1 species
GAUGAAGAACGUAGCGAAAUGCGAUAAGUAAUGUGAAUUGCAGAAUUCAGUGAAUCAUCGAAUCUUUGAACGCACAUUGCGCCCGCCAGUAUUCUGGCGGGCAUGCCUGUUCGAGCGUCAUUUCAACCAUCAAGCCCCCCGGCUUGUGUUGGGGACCUGCGGCUGCCGCAGGCCCUGAAAAGCAGUGGCGGGCUCGCUGUCACACCGAGCGUAGUAGCAUACAUCUCGCUCUGGGCGUGCUGCGGGUUCCGGCCGUUAAACCACCUUCAUAACCCAAGGUUGACCUCGGAUCAGGUAGGAAGACCCGCUGAACUUAAGCAUAUCAAUAAGCGGAGA